AGAAGGUUUACAGUUGGUGAGUGGGUCCUCAGGAGAGUAAUGGAAAACACUAAAAAUCUAAACACAGACAAGUUUGGUCACUCAUGGGAAGGACCGUUCGAGGUCAUAGAAGCAUACAGAAAGGGCGCUUACAAGUUAAGACUAGUCAGUAUAUGUCACGCCCUUGGAAUACACCUCACCUAAAGAAAUAUUGUGUUUAGAUUAAUCUACUUGUCCAUGAUUCCACUUAUAUUUAUUAAAUAAAAUCCGCACUUCCCAUUUAAAUGUCGAUUCAUGCACUUGGCUUAAAUUUGUUAUAAACUGAGCUGUGUUUAAACUUAUCAUCGAUGUCCAUGCCGAUCGCAACACUACCCCGAGGUUACCAAUCCUGUUGGGGCAGUCAAUUGGAUCCAUGCUGAUCUCAACAUCACCCGUAGAUUACCAAUCCUCUGGGGGCAAUCAACAAGUUCCAUGCCGAUGUCAAUAUCACCCAGAGGUUAUCAAUCCUCUGGGAGCAAUCAAUAAGAUACAUGCCGAUCGCAACACUAUCCCGUGCUGAUCUCAACAUCACCCAGAGAAUACCAAUCCUCUGGGGGCAAUCAACAUGAUCCAUGCCGAUCUCAACAUCACCCAGAGGUUAUCAAUCCUCUGAGAGCAAUCAAUAGGAUACAUGUCGAUCACAAAACUAUCUUGAGGUUACCAAUCCUCUAGGGGUAGUCAAUUGGAUCCAUGCUGAUCUCAACAUCACUCAGAGGUUACCAAUAGGAUCCAUGCUGAUCUUAACACUACCCUGAGGUUAUAAAUUCUCUAGGGAUAGUCAGUUGGAC
rnacentral:lncRNA from 1 species